rnacentral:lncRNA from 1 species
CCGUCUCCUCCCCUAACCCCUUUCGGCUGCCGCUCCAGGGCCUCGGAGAGGCCAGCCGGCCCGCGGAGCUGUUUAACCGUUCCGCGGGUCCUAGAAAGCCAGCUGCCCUCAGGCUUGCUUAAAGGGGAGACGCCGGAGUGGGUGUGCCCCGACGUCCUGCGAGGGCAGCGCCGAGGGGCGUGUGCCCUGAAGGCCCGCUGAACAGCCGCUUUUGGCCGGGCGCGGUGGCUCACGCCUGUAAUCCCAGCACUUUGGGAGGCCGAGGCGGGAGGAUCCCUUGGGCCCAGGAGGAGUUCGAGACCAGCCUGGGCAGUGUGGCGAGACCGUCCCCCACCCCCGUCUCUAAAUAUAUAUAAACAUAUAUAU